GAUGAACGCUGGCGGCGUGCCUAAUACAUGCAAGUCGAGCGAACAGACGAGGAGCUUGCUUUUCUGACGUUAGCGGCGGACGGGGGAGUAACACGUGGAGAACCUACCUAUAAGACUGGGAUAAAUUCGGGAAACCGGAGCUAAUACCGGAUAAUAUAUUGAACCGCAUGGUUCAAUAGUGAAAGACGGUUUUGCUGUCACUUAUAGAUGGAUCCGCGCCGCAGUAGCUAGUUGGUAAGGUAACGGCUUACCAAGGCAACGAUGCGUAGCCGACCUGAGAGGGUGGUCGGCCACACGGGAACUGAGACACGGUCCAGACUCCUACGGGAGGCAGCAGUAGGGAAUCUUCCGCAAUGGGGGAAAGCCUAACGGAGCACCGCCGCGUGAGUGAUGAAGGUCUUCGGAUCGUAAAACUCUGUUAUAAGGGAGGAACAAAUGUGUAAGUAACUAUGCACGUCUUGACGGUACCUAAUCAGAAAGCCACGGCUAACUACGUG
rnacentral:rRNA from 1 species